CGGUAGACGCCACAGGCGUACGACGGGUAGCCGGCCUGAGAGGGCGACCGGCCACACUGGGACUGAGACACGGCCCAGACUCCUACGGGAGGCAGCAGUGGGGAAUAUUGCACAAUGGGCGAAAGCCUGAUGCAGCGACGCCGCGUGAGGGAUGACGGCCUUCGGGUUGUAAACCUCUUUCAGCAGGGAAGAAGCGAAAGUGACGGUACCUGCAGAAGAAGCGCCGGCUAACUACGUGCCAGGGCCCGCGGCCGA
rnacentral:rRNA from 1 species